GACUUGAUCAAAGACCUACGUCCUCGC
rnacentral:piRNA from 1 species